rnacentral:rRNA from 1 species
AUGUGGUUUUGCGGAGAAUCCAGGGAAUGUGAUUGUGUCUGCAUCGGGUACAUUGAAGGAAAUCUUUUCUUGUACUGCAUAGCUUUAUACAUUGUCGUACCAGACCUGCGAGUUUUAUGGAUAGGCAUGUCUUUGAGAACAAUAAUAUCAUCACAGUUCUGUCCAUACAUAUUUAUCGUUCAUUCUUCUGAAAUUAUGUGGACAAUAUCAGCAUUUUUAUUACUUUACCGUCAUAUCUCAUUAAUUGAUAUAGUUCAGGUCCACACUGUGUUCACUGCUUUUAUAUCACGGACAGAUUAUCUAAGAAUUUAG